rnacentral:rRNA from 1 species
CAACGUGGGGGAACCUGCCCCAUAGUCUGGGAUACCACUUGGAAACAGGUGCUAAUACCGGAUAAGAAAGCGGAUCGCAUGAUCAGCUUUUAAAAGGCGGCGUAAGCUGUCGCUAUGGGAUGGCCCCGCGGUGCAUUAGCUAGUUGGUAAGGUAAAGGCUUACCAAGGCGAUGAUGCAUAGCCGAGUUGAGAGACUGAUCGGCCACAUUGGGACUGAGACACGGCCCAAACUCCUACGGGAGGCAGCAGCG